rnacentral:tRNA from 5 species
GGAGGAGUUGCAUAAUGGUAUUGCAAUAGGUUGCUAACCUAUCGCGGUCUAAAAAGCCGCUUGUGGGUUCGAGUCCCACCUCCUCCG